rnacentral:rRNA from 1 species
AGGUUAAGUUACAAAGGGCGCACGGUGGAUGCCUUGGCACUAGGAGCCGAUGAAGGACGGAACUAAUACCGAUAUGCUUCGGGGAGCUAUAAGUAAGCUUUGAUCCGGAGAUUUCCGAAUGGGGGAACCCAGUACACAUCAGUGUAUUGCCUGCAAGUGAAUACAUAGCUUGUUGGCGGCAGACGCGGGGAACUGAAACAUCUCAGUACCCGCAGGAAGAGAAAGAAAACUCGAUUCCCAUAGUAGCGGCGAGCGAAGUGGGAAGAGCCCAAACCGAGAAGCUUGCUUCUCGGGGUUGUAGGACUGGACAUUGGAGUUACCAAAGUUCGACGUAGUCGAAGUCAGCUGGAAAGCUGCGCCAUAGAAGGUGAAAGCCCUGUAAACGAAACGGCGGACUCUCCGUCCAGGAUCCUGAGUACGGCGGAACACGUGAAAUUCCGUCGGAAUCCGGGAGGACCAUCUCCCAAGGCUAAAUACUCCCUAGUGACCGAUAGUGAACCAGUACCGUGAGGGAAAGGUGAAAAGCACCCCGGAAGGGGAGUGAAACAGUUCCUGAAACCGUGUGCCUACAAUUAGUCAAAGCCCGUUAACGGGUAAUGGCGUGCCUUUUGUAGAAUGAACCGGCGAGUUACGUUUGCCUGCGAGGUUAAGAUGAAAAGUCGGAGCCGGAGCGAAAGCGAGUCUGAACAGGGCGCUUCAGUAGGUAGAUGUAGACCCGAAACCAAGUGACCUACCCAUGACCAGGUUGAAGGUGUGGUGAAACACACUGGAGGACCGAACCCAUGUAUGUUGAAAAAUGCUGGGAUGAGUUGUGGGUAGCGGUGAAAUUCCAAACGAACUUGGAGAUAGCUGGUUCUCUCCGAAAUAGCUUUAGGGUUAGCCUCGGAGGAUGGAUCAUGGAGGUAGAGCACUGUUUGAACUAGGGGCCCGUCAAGGGUUACUGAAUUCAGAUAAACUCCGAAUACCAUUGAUCUUACUCCGGGAGUCAGACAGUGAGCGAUAAGGUCCAUUGUCGAAAGGGGAACAGCCCAGAUCACCAGUUAAGGUCCCUAAAUUUAUGCUAAGUGGAAAAGGAUGUGGCGUUGCACAGACAACUAGGAUGUUGGCUCAGAAGCAGCCACCAUUUAAAGAGUGCGUAAUAGCUCACUAGUCGAGUGGCACUGCGCCGAAAAUAUACCGGGGCUAAGCAUAAUACCGAAACUGUGGGUGCACCCGUCAGGGUGCGCGGUAGGAGAGCGUUCUAAGGGCGUUGAAGGUCGAUCGUGAGGACGGCUGGAGCGCUUAGAAGUGAGAAUGCCGGCAUGAGUAGCGAAAGAUCAGUGAGAAUCUGAUCCACCGUAUGACUAAGGUUUCCUGGGGAAGGCUCGUCCUCCCAGGGUUAGUCGGGAUCUAAGGCGAGGCCGCAAGGCGUAGUCGAUGACAAGCAGGUUGAGAUUCCUGCACUAGUUUAUUUUGUUUAAGCGAUGGAGGGACGCAGGAGGCUAAGGAAAGCGCACGGCUGGAAAAGUGCGUCCAAGCAGUAAGUCCGGUAGCGAGUGAAAUGCUUGCCGCCUUAAGGACAAGCUGUGAUGGGGAGCGAAAUUAAAGUAGCGAAGUUCCUGAUGUCACACUGCCAAGAAAAGCUUCUAGUGAGAAAUAAACUACCCGUACCGCAAACCGACACAGGUAGUCGAGGAGAGUAUCCUCAGGUGAGCGAGCGAACUCUCGUUAAGGAACUCGGCAAAAUGACCCCGUAACUUCGGAAGAAGGGGUGCUGACCGCAAGGUCAGCCGCAGUGAAUAGGCCCAAACAACUGUUUAUCAAAAACACAGGUCUCUGCUAAAUCGUAAGAUGAUGUAUAGGGGCUGACGCCUGCCCGGUGCUGGAAGGUUAAGAGGAUGAGUUAGCGCAAGCGAAGCCCAGAAUUGAAGCCCCAGUAAAC